rnacentral:rRNA from 1 species
UACGAAGGGGGCUAGCGUUGCUCGGAAUCACUGGGCGUAAAGCGCACGUAGGCGGCUUUCUAAGUCAGGGGUGAAAUCCUGGAGCUCAACUCCAGAACUGCCUUUGAUACUGGAGAGCUAGAGUCCGGAAGAGGUGAGUGGAACUGCGAGUGUAGAGGUGAAUUCGUAGAUAUUCGGAGGAACACCGAUGGCGAAGGCAAUCCCCUGGACCUGUACUGACGCUCAUGCACGAAAGCGUGGGGAGCAAACAGG